GACGAACGCUGGCGGCGUGCUUAACACAUGCAAGUCGAACGAAGUGGCGAACGGGUGAGUAACGCGUAAUAAACCUGCCCUUCAGAGGGGGACAACAGUUGGAAACGACUGCUAAUACCGCAUACUGAAGGAGGGGAUUGCGUCUGAUAUGCUCGUUGGGGGGGCAACGGCCCACCAAGGCGAUGAUCAGUAGCCGGUCUGGGAGGGUGGACGGCCACAUUGGGACUGAGACACGGCCCAGACUCCUACGGGAGGCAGCAGGGGGGAAUCUUCCGCAAUGGACGGAAGUCUGACUGAGCACCGCCGCGUGAGUGAUGACGGCCUUCGGGUUGUAAAGCUCUGUUAAUCGGGGCGCGGUACCGGAAUAGAAAGCCACGGCUAACUACGUGCCAGCAGCCGCGGUAAUAC
rnacentral:rRNA from 1 species